rnacentral:rRNA from 1 species
AUGCACGCUGGCGGCGUGCCUAAUACAUGCAGGUCGAGCGAACGGACGAGAAGCUUGCUUCUCUGAUGUUAGCGGCGGACGGGUGAGUAACACGUGGAUAACCUACCUAUAAGACUGGGAUAACUUCGGGAAACCGGAGCUAAUACCGGAUAAUAUUUCGAACCGCAUGGUUCAAAAGUGAAAGACGGUCUUGCUGUCACUUAUAGAUGGAUCCGCGCUGCAUUAGCUAGUUGGUAAGGUAACGGCUUACCAAUGCAACGAUGCAUAGCCGACCUGAGAGGGUGAUCGGCCACACUGGAACUGAGACACGGUCCAGACUCCUACGGGAGGCAGCAGUAGGGAAUCUUCCGCAAUGGGCGAAAGCCUGACGGAGCAACGCCGCGUGAGUGAUGAAGGUCUUCGGAUCGUAAAACUCUGUUAUUAGGCAAGAACAUAUGUGUAAGUAACUGUGCACAUCUUGACGGUACCUAAUCAGAAAGCCACGGCUAACUACGUG